rnacentral:rRNA from 1 species
AGUGAACGCUGGCGGUAGGCCUAACACAUGCAAGUCGAACGGCAGCACAGUAAGAGCUUGCUCUUACGGGUGGCGAGUGGCGGACGGGUGAGGGAUACAUCGGAAUCUACUUUUUCGUGGGGGAUAACGUAGGGAAACUUACGCUAAUACCGCAUACGACCUACGGGUGAAAGCAGGGGAUCUUCGGACCUUGCGCGAUUGAAUGAGCCGAUGUCGGAUUAGCUAGUUGGCGGGGUAAAGGCCCACCAAGGCGACGAUCCGUAGCUGGUCUGAGAGGAUGAUCAGCCACACUGGAACUGAGACACGGUCCAGACUCCUACGGGAGGCAGCAGUGGGGAAUAUUGGACAAUGGGCGCAAGCCUGAUCCAGCCAUACCGCGUGGGUGAAGAAGGCCUUCGGGUUGUAAAGCCCUUCUGUUGGGAAAGAAAAGCAGCAGGUUAAUACCCCGCUGUUCUGACGGUACCCAAAGAAUAAGCACCGGCUAACUUCGUG